UUUCACGAAAAUCUUAAUGCCGUAGAUUC
rnacentral:sRNA from 1 species